rnacentral:rRNA from 1 species
UGGGGAAUAUUGGACAAUGGGCGCAAGCCUGAUCCAGCCAUGCCGCGUGAGUGAUGAAGGCCUUAGGGUUGUAAAGCUCUUUCGCCGGUGAAGAUAAUGACGGUAACCGGAGAAGAAGCCCCGGCUAACUUCGUGCCAGCAGCCGCGGUAAUACGAAGGGGGCUAGCGUUGCUCGGAAUCACUGGGCGUAAAGCGCACGUAGGCGGAUCGUUAAGUCAGGGGUGAAAUCCUGGAGCUCAACUCCAGAACUGCCCUUGAUACUGGCGAUCUCGAGUUCGAGAGAGGUUGGUGGAACUCCGAGUGUAGAGGUGAAAUUCGUAGAUAUUCGGAAGAACACCAGUGGCGAAGGCGGCCAACUGGCUCGAUACUGACGCUGA